GAUAUUCAGCUUGGUUGGUGGUGGAAGUGGUUUCUCAACUCCAUUAGAUGGUGUGAUAUGUUCAAUUACUGUUUCUUUGUCAAGAACCCAGAAAAUUUAUGUAUCGGCUUGCCGUGUGAAGUUUGGGAGAUUUUGACUCUUGCGGUAGAGAUGAGAUAGGUAUUCAUGAGUUUAAGCAUUUUUGCAUACUGUUCAAUUUCAUCGGCAUACAGUAUUGCCUUUAUUUGGCAUUCCUGAAAGUAAGAGUUGUAGAGAUCUGAGAAUAAGUCAAACUAUUUACUAAGAGUAAAACAAAACAAAAAUUUU
rnacentral:misc_RNA from 1 species